rnacentral:rRNA from 1 species
GACGAACGCUGGCGGCGUGCUUAACACAUGCAAGUCGAACGGAAAGGCCCUGCUUUUGUGGGGUGCUCGAGUGGCGAACGGGUGAGUAACACGUGAGUAACCUGCCCUUGACUUUGGGAUAACUUCAGGAAACUGGGGCUAAUACCGGAUAGGAGCUCCUGCUGCAUGGUGGGGGUUGGAAAGUUUCGGCGGUUGGGGAUGGACUCGCGGCUUAUCAGCUUGUUGGUGGGGUAGUGGCUUACCAAGGCUUUGACGGGUAGCCGGCCUGAGAGGGUGACCGGCCACAUUGGGACUGAGAUACGGCCCAGACUCCUACGGGAGGCAGCAGUGGGGAAUAUUGCACAAUGGGCGGAAGCCUGAUGCAGCAACGCCGCGUGCGGGAUGACGGCCUUCGGGUUGUAAACCGCUUUCGCCUGUGACGAAGCGUGAGUGACGGUAAUGGGUAAAGAAGCACCGGCUAACUACGUGCCAGCAGCCGCGGUGAUACGUAGGGUGCGAGCGUUGUCCGGAUUUAUUGGGCGUAAAGGGCUCGUAGGUGGUUGAUCGCGUCGGAAGUGUAAUCUUGGGGCUUAACCCUGAGCGUGCUUUCGAUACGGGUUGACUUGAGGAAGGUAGGGGAGAAUGGAAUUCCUGGUGGAGCGGUGGAAUGCGCAGAUAUCAGGAGGAACACCAGUGGCGAAGGCGGCUCUCUGGGCCUUUCCUGACGCUGAGGAGCGAAAGCGUGGGGAGCGAACAGGCUUAGAUACCCUGGUAGUCCACGCUGUAAACGGUGGGUACUAGGUGUGGGGUCCAUUCCACGGGUUCCGUGCCGUAGCUAACGCUUUAAGUACCCCGCCUGGGGAGUACGGCCGCAAGGCUAAAAUUCAAAGGAAUUGACGGGGCCCCGCACAAGCGGCGGAGCAUGCGGAUUAAUUCGAUGCAACGCGUAGAACCUUACCUGGGUUUGACAUGGAUCGGGAGCGCUCAGAGAUGGGUGUGCCUCUUUUGGGGUCGGUUCACAGGUGGUGCAUGGCUGUCGUCAGCUCGUGUCGUGAGAUGUUGGGUUAAGUCCCGCAACGAGCGCAACCCUUGUUCACUGUUGCCAGCACGUUAUGGUGGGGACUCAGUGGAGACCGCCGGGGUCAACUCGGAGGAAGGUGGGGAUGACGUCAAGUCAUCAUGCCCCUUAUGUCCAGGGCUUCACGCAUGCUACAAUGGCUGGUACAGAGAGUGGCGAGCCUGUGAGGGUGAGCGAAUCUCGGAAAGCCGGUCUCAGUUCGGAUUGGGGUCUGCAACUCGACCUCAUGAAGUCGGAGUCGCUAGUAAUCGCAGAUCAGCAACGCUGCGGUGAAUACGUUCCCGGG